UGCGGAGGGGGCGAGCGUUAUUCGGAAUUAUUGGGCGUAAAGGGCGCGUAGGCGGCCCGGUAAGUCAAAGGUGAAAUCCCUCGGCUCAACUGAGGAACUGCCUUUGAAACUGUCGGGCUUGAGGCCGGGAGGGGGUAGCGGAAUUCCCAGUGUAGCGGUGAAAUGCGUAGAUAUUGGGAGGAACACCGGUGGCGAAGGCGGCUACCUGGACCGGUUCUGACGCUGAUGCGCGAAAGCGUGGGUAGCAAACAGG
rnacentral:rRNA from 1 species